rnacentral:rRNA from 1 species
CCUACGGGAUGCACCAGUGGGGAAUUUUGGACAGUGGGCGAAAGCCUGAUCCAGCAAUGCCGCGUGCGUGAAGAAGGUCUUCGGAUUGUAAAGCACUUUCGACGGGGACGAUGAUGACGGUACCCGUAGAAGAAGCCCCGGCUAACGUCGUGCCAGCAGCCGCGGUAAUACGAAGGGGGCUAGCGUUGCUCGGAAUGACUGGGCGUAAAGGGCGCGUAGGCGGUUUAUGCAGUCAGAUGUGAAAUCCCCGGGCUUAACCUGGGAACUGCAUUUGAGACGCAUAUACUAGUGGUCGAGAGAGGGUUGUGGAAUGCCCAGUAUAGAGGUGAAAUUCGUAGAUAUUGGGAAGAACACCGGUGGCGAAGGCGGCAACCUGGCUCGAUACUGACGCUGAGGCGCGAAAGCGUGGGGAGCAAACAGGAUUAGAUACCCGUGUAGUC